UUAUUGGAAGUAAAAAGUCGUAACAAGGUUUCCGUUAGGUGAACCUGCGGAAGGAUCAUUUAGCGAAGCUCGGAACGCGUGUUCGGUACUGUAGCUGCCCAGCGAUGGGAUGUGCUAUGUCUGGAUGCGUGUCCCUUCUCUAUUCCACCCCACUGUGAACCAAGCGUGUGAGCCGAAGAGAGAUCGGAGGCUUGCACGCAACACUUAACAUACCCCAAUGAAGUAUCAGAAUGUACCUUGCGUUAACUCGCACAAAUACAACUUUCAACAACGGAUCUCUUGGCUCUCGCAUCGAUGAAGAACGCAGCGAAAUGCGAUAAGUAAUGUGAAUUGCAGAAUUCAGUGAAUCAUCGAAUCUUUGAACGCACCUUGCGCCCCUUGGCAUUCCGAGGGGCACGCCUGUUUGAGUGUCGUGAACUCCUCCACUCCUCACCUUUUUCGAAGGGUUGUUGAGCUGGGACUUGGGAGCUUGCGGGUCCCCUGGCCGAUCCGCUCUCCUUGAAUGCAUUAGCGAAGCCCUUUGCGGCCUUGGUGUGAUAGUCAUCUACGCCUUGGCUUAGCGAACCUAAUGGGAGUCGCUUCCAACCGUCUCGCAAGAGACAACACAUACCAACUUGACCUCAAAUCAGGGCGGGACUACCCCCUGAACUUAAGCUUUAGCGGGGGGGGAGAAAAAA
rnacentral:rRNA from 1 species